UACGAAGGGGGCUAGCGUUGCUCGGAAUCACUGGGCGUAAAGGGUGCGUAGGCGGGUCUUUAAGUCAGGGGUGAAAUCCUGGAGCUCAACUCCAGAACUGCCUUUGAUACUGAAGAUCUUGAGUUCGGGAGAGGCGAGUGGAAUUCCGGGUGUAGUGGUGAAAUGCGUAGAGAUCCGGAGGAACACCAGUGGCGAAGGCGGCUCGCUGGGCUUUACCUGACGCUGAGGCGCGAAAGCGUGGGGAGCGAACCGG
rnacentral:rRNA from 1 species